GGAACAUUUGUGUUGGGUAAAAAGGACAGAUGAGACACACGUGUGUUUAUCCGGUGCAGAGUGACUGAUGAAGCAAUGCUGAAUGCUUUGAAGCUUUUGUGGUGGAGCAGGUGAUAGCAGCAUUUGUGGAAAAAAGGGAAAACCUGAAACAAAAAUAUAAAGUAAGAUCAUUUUGUUUCUUCUAAUACAGAAGUCAAAUAACAUUGUGCUGUUAAAAUUACUGCUUUUGUAUUGUGUUUGUGCAUCUUUGCAGGAUCUGAAAUGUCUGCAGACUGGUGUGAGCUGUGAAGAUGCAUCAUUUUCAGCAUCCUAGAAAUGGUCCAGUGCUAUGAAUGAGACGCACCAUCACUCCACCUCUUACUGCCUCAUCAGGACCGGAUGUUGCUGUGGUCUCUUCAUCCUCAGUGAGCCCAGAGCCAGCGAGAGCAUCUAGAGGAAGACCAAAAGACUAUGAGGAUGUGAUUUUGGUCAAGUUUGUUCUGCUGGUUUCUGUUCAAACAACAUCAGUCAAUGAAACCCGAGUUUCAGAAGCUUCAAAAGAAUCAUCAAAUAAUAUCAUGAAGAAUCUGAAAGUCAGGCUCUAUUGACUGAUAUUGUAUGAACACAAACCAGCAGGACAAACUUGACCAAA